AGACGAAGGAAGGGCUGCAGGGCUCCUUUUCAUCCAUGGCAUGUCAGUGCCCAGUCAGUCCGUGAGCAGGGACAAGGGAAAGAAGCCACGGUGCCCCCAGCACCCAGCUCCUGGGAGGAUGGGGCGGGACUCUGGCCAGAGAGGAGCCCUGUCCAAAGGACGGCUGAUGCCCCCAGACGCUGCUUCAUCCUGGCUCUGGGGCCCGACCUGGGCCUGCAUCGCAUCCCUGCUGGAGUCUGUCCCACUAGGGUGGAUACUUUUCAAAGAGAAACAGCUCUGCUUUCUGAUACUCAGGAAAGAAAAGGCCUGAACAGGAAUAAUCCAUGAACUGUCAAAAGACACUUGGCUUUUGAAACUAAAUUCUAGCUACACUGGAAAACUGAACAGAAUUAUCAGAGUGGAACCUAUUACCACGGUACAACUGAACAUUCCUUCUAUCAGACACUGAAUGGAGGCUAAAUGCUGCCUGAACCCUCAGGCGCUGGGAGAUGCGAACAGACAGCAGGCCUGGCCUGGCUGCAGGACAGAGACGUUUCACUGUAAAGCAGGGAAUGGCCUCACUAAUGUCCUUAAAAAGCUUAAAGGUUACAGGUUUCUUCAAAGGAACCCCGGACAUGAAUCCAGUUCCCACUUAAGACAUGUCCACAGCUCUGGCCACCUCCAUGUUACAGAAGUCAGGCAUGUUCCUGCAAAAUGAAAGAUGGCCAUACAGGAAGUGAGGUAUGGCAACACUGAGACGCCCCAGGACGCUGGAGGCCUGGUUCCAGCUGUCACUUGCCUCUCUGUGACUCUGUUACUGAAGUCAUUUGGGACUGAAAAACGCAAAACUCAGAAUAAGGGCUUACUGCCUAGUGACCAAACGCCUCUAUGCUUGUUUAAAUCGAGUGUCAGAAGUGCCCUGGGGAGCGUAUAAGACUGAGCAAGCUCGGCUCCUGGGGCGGCAGGGGGUCGCGGCUCAGUGUCCAUGGGGGCCGGACGCCUGGGCUGUGCUCCUGUCGCCCUGCUCACGGUUCAGUCUCGGGCAGUUCACCUAACCUCUCUGUGGCGGCCUCCUCGUCUCUAAGACAGGGGUGAUGACGGUACCUAAAUGUCUAGCGCUGCGCCUGUAUACGCCAGGGACUCUUCAACGCUGGAUACGAAACGGCCAAACCAUGCUGUGCGUCUGUUCACGCGCUUUACGAGUGAGCUGUGAUCGCUAACCCCAGGCCCUCAUUUCUAAGAUCUGCAAAGCACGCAUACAACCUUCCUGCAGUUGGCCCUCAGUUACCCUACGAGGCUCUUAACAGGGGAGCCUAUUCCCUCCUCCGGCUCCUCACCGCUGACGACGGGGAGGGCCCUGCACUUGC
ensembl:lncRNA